rnacentral:rRNA from 1 species
GACGAACGCUGGCGGCGUGCCUAAUACAUGCAAGUUGAGCGCUGAAGGUUGGUACUUGUACCAACUGGAUGAGCAGCGAACGGGUGAGUAACGCGUGGGGAAUCUGCCUUUGAGCGGGGGACAACAUUUGGAAACGAAUGCUAAUACCGCAUAAAAACUUUAAACACAAGUUUUAAGUUUGAAAGAUGCAAUUGCAUCACUCAAAGAUGAUCCCGCGUUGUAUUAGCUAGUUGGUGAGGUAAAGGCUCACCAAGGCGAUGAUACAUAGCCGACCUGAGAGGGUGAUCGGCCACAUUGGGACUGAGACACGGCCCAAACUCCUACGGGAGGCAGCAGUAGGGAAUCUUCGGCAAUGGACGAAAGUCAGACCGAGCAACGCCGCGUGAGUGAAGAAGGGUUUCGGAUCGUAAAACUCUGUUGGUAGAGAAGAACGUUGGUGAGAGUGGAAAGCUCAUCAAGUGACGGUAACUACCCAGAAAGGGACGGCUAACUACGUG